rnacentral:lncRNA from 1 species
ACGGAUCUCCAAGCAAACAAGUUCCAGGAGCAGAGGGAAGAAGGAAAGACAAGGCUUCUCUUAAGGCUGCCUAGGAAUGAGCAUAGCCAACAACAGGAGCACACUUGGAUGAAAACUGCUGGCCCACACCUUGAUCUCAGUCUACACAGAGAACUUAGCCAGCACUGUCCCUGACUCCUGACCCGCAGAACUGUGAGCUGUGAAUGAAUGAAUGUUGUUUUAGGCUGCUCAGUUUGUGACUACACUGCAACAGAAACAGACACGCCUAUCAACUAAGUCAGUUGCUUUACUCCCCUGCCUGUUCUUCAACUUUCUAUUAUAUAGAUUUUCUUGAAUUAAAUCCAUGAAUAAAAUUAACACAAAUAUCUUCAUUUUAAUUU